rnacentral:rRNA from 1 species
GAAACUGACGGAACUCUUCGGAGGGAAGGCAGUGNAAUGAGCGGCGGACGGGUGAGUAACACGUAAGGAACCUGCCUCAAGGAUUGGGAUAACUCCGAGAAAUCGGAGCUAAUACCGGAUAGUUCAACGGACCGCAUGGUCCGCUGAUGAAAGGCGCUCCGGCGUCACCUUGAGAUGGCCUUGCGGUGCAUUAGCUAGUUGGUGNGGUAACGGCCCACCAAGGCGACGAUGCAUAGCCNACCUGAGAGGGUGAUCGGCCACACUGGGACUGAGACACGGCCCAGACUCCUACGGGAGGCAGCAGUAGGGAAUCUUCCACAAUGGACGAAAGUCUGAUGGAGCAACGCCGCGUGAGUGAUGAAGGUUUUCGGAUCGUAAAACUCUGUUGUAAGGGAAGAACACGUACGAGAGGAAAUGCUCGUACCUUGACGGUACCUUACGAGAAAGCCACGGCUAACUACGUGCCAGCAGCCGCGGUAAUACGUAGGUGGCAAGCGUUGUCCGGAAUUAUUGGGCGUAAAGCGCGCGCAGGCGGCCUUUUAAGUCUGAUGUGAAAGCCCCCGGCUCAACCGGGGAGGGCCAUUGGAAACUGGAAGGCUUGAGUACAGAAGAGAAGAGUGGAAUUCCACGUGUAGCGGUGAAAUGCGUAGAGAUGUGGAGGAACACCAGUGGCGAAGGCGACUCUUUGGUCUGUAACUGACGCUGAGGCG